rnacentral:rRNA from 1 species
GACGAACGCUGGCGGCGCGCUUAACACAUGCAAGUCGAGCGAGAACCAGGGACUUCGGUCCCUGGGGAAAGCGGCGAACGGGUGAGUAACACGUGGGUAAUCUGCCCUCGGUUCUGGGAUAGCCCGGGGAAACCCGGAUUAAUACCGGAUAGCCUUCCGAGCUCUCGGGCUUGGAAGAAAAGGUAGCUUCGGCCUCCGACCGAGGAGGAGCCUGCGGCGGAUUAGCUUGUUGGCGGGGUAAUGGCCCACCAAGGCGACGAUCCGUAGCUGGUCUGAG